rnacentral:lncRNA from 1 species
CACAGAAUUCUUGUUUCAGAAGAAUUUCUUGUUUUAUUCUUGGAAAUACCAGCUCUAGAGGGUCUGUGGUUCAGCUCAGAGCACGAAGCAGCAUCUCCCUGGGACAAGUUAACUCCACAACAGCUCUGAGGCAGAACUGGCCCUGGAAGGAAACAAUGCUUCAGCUCCCUGGAAAGAAGCCUUAAUGCCUGUUGGGAGGCCAUGAGAUAGCUGGGGAAACUCAAGAAAAGUCCAGUCCUGGUGCCGUGAUGUGCUGACAUACAGGAUGACAAGAAACAACAAGGGCUGUGAGACACACAGGAUUGAGUCUCUCUCAAGGCCAAUCUGCUUACACUGGGCAGAUUAAACACCAACUGGAAGACAAAAUCAAGGCCUCAUGCAGUGAAUAACACAAGUGGAGAGCUGAGGUGCAGCUGUAAGGAGGUGUUCCAGCACCACCAAGAAAUACCUUGCUAUCACACAACAUGCACUAUAUCCAUAGCUGGGGUCACAUGCAGAGGAUUAACAAAGCAAGCAGGAGCCAGGUGACAAUGGUUUUCCACUCUGGGAGUGUCUGAUCCUUCUUGAGGAAGAGACUGUCUGAAUCCACUGGAUUCCUGAGCAGCUCAGCCUGUGACAGACACAAAGUGCAAUCACAGCCCUUGAAACCUGAUGAGCCCCUCAAGUACAGUGAAACAAUUCCAGACAUACACAUGUGACAUGGGAAGAAUCAGGUGCCAAAAAUUUCUCUUUUGCCAUAAAGGGUAAAAAAUACUCAUUCUAAAAGGUAAAAUAAAAUGAAGUUUAUAUAUAAGUGUUUAUACA